UUUUAACUCGUUACAGUGGAUCAUAAACUGCAUUAAAGGUCACGUUCUUUCUGAUCCCAUUUUUAGUGUGUAAUGUUGCUAUAAUAGCAUAAAUAAUACCUGUAAAAUGAUAAAGCUCAAAGUUCACUGCCAAUCCGAUAUAUUUUCCUUAACAGAAUUCGCCUUUCAAAGCCAGCGAACGGCCGGUUUGGACUACAGCCCUUUAGUUCCUGCUUUAAUGACGUCAGUAGAACAGUUUUUUGACUAAACUCCGCCCACAGGAAUACGUCAGUCGCCAGCUAAGCUAACGGCAAGCUAUGCUGCUAUCGUACUGUUUUCCAUAUAUUGUACUGUUCUGUAUAUUUUUUUGUUUAAGCAUAUUAAUUAAAAAAAGCUAUGCUGCUAUCGAAUCACAACACACUAAACAAACUACACAAUCAGAACUCGAUACGUAUUUCUGAAGGAGGGACUUCAUAGAACAAGACAUCAGCCCGUUUUGAGGACAGUGAAAAGUAAAUUUGUGUGGAAAAAUGCCACGUUUUUUACACGUACAACAUGAACACAUGUUAUAUUGCGCACUGUAAACACAAUCAAAUCUUCAAAAACACACAAAAAUAGAACGGGACCUUUAAAACUUCUUGAUCGUUCACUUCUGUGUGACUCGCCAGUUUUAGCACCAUGGACAGCGACGCCCGAAUCAUAGUACAAAUAGUCAACAAAGUCGGGUGACUUGGUCCAUCUUCUUGUGAAAAAAAAUAUUUUAAGUAGUUAUUUAACAACAAUUCACGCCUAUGUAAAAACGAAGCACUAUUUUAAGAGUAUUUCCAAAUGAGCUGCUUGCAGUUUUGGAAACUUAAAUGGUGUUUGGCGACGCCGUGUGGCAAGUUAAACUAGUCGAUGUCCUUAUGGUUUUACCGCACUGAUCAAAUUAGUGUACUUUGUGUACUGCACACAUCCGUAUCUCUACUUGUAUUGGCAUGCUUUGGACAUUGUGGUUGCCUGAAUAUUUGCGUUGCAGUAGUUUGUCAUGCACGAUCGCCUGCAUAAUCCUAUACAACUAUUGGAUAUCUUUUUAUAGACAGCUAGUAGAACAAAACGAAAUAUCAACACAAACCCUUUAUUGUUGCAUCUAAAUAAUUUGCUAAUUAUCUUAACCACAUGUCAACAUCUAGAAGUUCACCUCAACCGCGCCACCACCGAUGGGAAAACUACCAGGCUUUAAACUGUGUUUGGGAUAAUAUAUAGGCUAGUGGUCUGUCUGCCGCGGAAUCCAUGGGCACACGAGUUUUUUCACGAUGGCAGGCGACACCAAGGAGGGGUUUUGCUCUGAGCUGUUGCCACAAGCCAAGCAGACACUGUCAGUCAUUUAUUUUUUAGUUUUAUUUAGCUGGUUUUAAGCCAUUUUCAUUAAAGAGUCGCUGUCUGAGAGCAUAACAGCGAUGGUUGUAAUCAGCAGCCGUAGACUGUGAAGUGGGAGAACCUAAACGUGACGUCAAUGCCUAGUAACUGACGCAGCCCUUUAAAAAAAAGAAGAGAGAUUCAGCAAGCGUUAAUUAUCGUUUGUGUACUGCACUAAAGACAAAACAUAUUCUCAUCUCAGUACAAGCGAUCAUGGUUGUUUGUGCGCGCGAGUCCGUGUAAGUUUCUCUCUCUCUCUCUCUCUCUCUCUCUCUCUCUCUCUCUCUCUCUCUCUCUCUCUCUCUCUCUCUGUUUUCUUUUUCCCGAGCAGCGAAUCCGUCCUGGGUUUCCAAGCGAAAGUUGCAUGGAGACACGCCGCGUAAGACGCCUAUAAUAAAGAGGAUGGUGAGCGAAAUAAAUGGAAAGCAGCAACAACUCGACCCAAGACGAGAACAUUUGCGAACAUUUCAGAAAUAUUUAGCCAUAAGAGAGAAAAGCUCGUUUGAAAAAAAAAAUCACUGCAGCGAUGCAACGGAGGCGAGUCCGAGCUCUUGCAUGGAGUUGGAGAGGCACAAUUUAUGUACAUUACAUGCACUCCACGUAACACUCCUGAGCGAUGUCUUUGUGAGUGUUUUUUUCUUACUGGGCGCUAAAAAUAGCAUCGGUGUUUGAUCGUGGUCCAGAAAUAGGCAGAGGGUAUCACUUGUAUAAAAAGGACUGCGAUUCCCAGAAAACUUGGACGUGUUGCUGAGGAGAGAUGAAUCAAGGGCACAAGGGCUUGCAGCACUGGGAAGUCCAAAAACUCGAGGGCACCAUUGUCUGAGGAAGUCACCCAACUUUUCCCAUCAGUCCAUGAGCUCCCACCGGCUCUGUCCACCUUCUUCAGUGUGACAUCACCGGCUUUAAAAUCUGUUGAUGACAGGAGGUCCAGCACAAGGAGAACGCAGAACUGAGAAGUGACGAAUAAGGAAGCUGACCGUUACAAAAGGUAUCAACCGACACCCGUCCUGUUCCACACAUGCAGGGUAACAUGGGUGUGGCCGUACUGAAAUUAUUUAUGAUGCAAAACCCACAGAUUGUGUCUAGUUUGGGAAAGGCCUCAGUCAUGAGAAUACUAAGUUCCCAGGGUCAGUCAUUUGAAGCAGGAUGUUUACCUGAAAGAACGAAAAAUAAAAAGAUGAAAACCUGGGAAACUUGGGGAUGAAUCAUUAGGAUAAUACGUCUUGUGCACAAGAUUAAUUACGUCAACGUAACGUCAAGUCAACUUUUUUUGUGCUUUACAUCCAUUCAUGGAAAUUCAGCAAGUUGAUUUCUUUAUAAAAGCAAGAUAACAGCCUCAGGUAUUUAAAAUCUAUGUUUGUAAAGGAUUUUCUUAUAUAAGUUGGACAUGAUGUUAUUUCGAGAAGUUUCAAACUAUUCAGAUUUCUGCCACGUGUCCCUUUAGAUAUAUAAGACGUGUACAGAAUUAUACAAACGGUAACAGAGGGAAAAUUUGUGUGUAUGAGGUAAAAAAAAUACAAAUGUUAAAAAGUACAGAUUAGGAGAUUACGUAUAUGUCUAGGUCUUUACUCAUGAGGGAAAUUGUGUUAAACCACACGACCAUAUAAACGCUUGUACGGUUUUGCUGUGUUUUAAUCGUAAAAUGAAGCAUAGUCUGAUUUAAUACAAUCUUCUUGUGUAUCAUUGUAAGAAGUAGUUUGUAUAUAUAUCCUAAAAUGGUUUCGUUUUGAGCGUGCUUAUAAGACGCGCUCGCGUAACGUGAAAGCAAAAGUAAACGUCUUCUAUACAAUAAGAGACGUACUCAUGGAUGUUGUUGUUUUUUUAUUUUUUGGCUUGUGGUGAUUAAUAACUGUGAGGGUGCCAUAUAUCUGAUUAAUAGAAAUAGUUUCAUGAUUGUUUGCUGAGAGAUGUUUGAAUGAAGCUGUAUGAAGCAUUAGUAGAUUUAAUGCUGUGUUGGUGCCGUCAGAGGGUCGCUGUCCACUCCACGUGGUGCUGAAAUGUGCGCUACUUCUGACGGCUGAUCAAUCAAAAAAACUGUUAGCUUAUAGCUUAACUAAUAUAACCAAAUUAUAUUUUAUUGAACAUGGCUGUUUUCAUACUUUCUGUUACUGAAUAUCUUUUAUAAAAUGUAUAUUGCAUUGUGCAUGAAGUUUUAAGUCAUAAAAGCUUUAAGCUUUUUAACUUUGUUAGCAGUGGUCUUAAAACAUGUGAUCAUACUAAAACUGUGCUGUGAAACGUUAAGAUUCCACUUAUCAGUCUUAUCUGAGCAGUGAAUGAAAGGGGGGAAUAAAAAUGAAUGAAAUAAUUAUCAGACAUCGAGCUCAUUUUAGAAAUUGUCUGUGGUAGGCUACGUAUAUAGUUCAGGAGAUGGACAAUACAUUGCAACGAGUGUUUGUUAAAAGUGAGAGGUUACAUGUGGUUUCCUGCGUGAGUGAGGAUGUGUGUCUGUGAUAAAAAAAUAUAUAUAUUUUUACAGCAUGCAUUAUUUUACUAGCACAAGAAACAAUGAAAUAAAUAUAUGAAAAAUCUAAUCGAUAUUUCACGUCAUGAAAAUAUAAUUUCAAAUACAGUGAUUUAAACAGUGACCUUGUAUAAUUUUUUGAGCUUUGUGGGUUUUUUACGUUGUACCAUUGCUUUACCUUUUCCUGAAUUGUUGUUUUUAUCGUAUGAUAGGGUUAAUUUAGUAAAAUGUAAUAUUUGUAUAGAACUGUGUAAAGUUUAAUGAGGAUGCUGUUUAAACCAUGCUACGUGGACGACGUUAAGAUGUAACUGUGAGUUUUGCACUUUUUUGUUUUUCCAUUUAUUUUUUGUGUUGUGUAGCCUAUUUCAAGGGCACUGAGAGAAAAAAAAUACAGAUUUAACUGAAUUAAAUCUGACACGAUGUCUUGUUAUUUCUGUACAAAAAAUAGUUAUCUUUGUGGUGCCAGUGGCAAAGGGAGAGCACAUUGCAAAAUACGUAGCCAUGCUGGUAUAUUGUUAAAUACUCUGAACUGAAUUAUAUAUAUUUAUAUAAUUAAACUUUCUUUGUUACCUUACCCAUGUCAGUACAAAUAAAUGUUCUGUUGUUUAA